AGAUGGUCUGAGAGCAUGACCAGCCACACUGGAUCUGAGACACGGUCCAGACUCCUACGGGAGGCAGCAGUGGGGAAUAUUGCACAAUGGGGGGAACCCUGAUGCAGCCAUGCCGCGUGAAUGAAGAAGGCCUUCGGGUUGUAAAGUUCUAUCGGUGACGAGGAAGGCGAUUGUUAUAAUAGAACAGUCGAUUGACGUUAAUCACAGAAGAAGCACCGGCUAACUCCGUGCCAGCAGCCGCGGUAAUACGGGCAGUGCGAGCGUUAAUCGGAAUAACUGGGCGUAAAGGGCACGCAGGCGGUUGUUUAAGUGAGGUGUGAAAGCCCCGGGCUUAACCUGGGAAUUGCAUUUCAGACUGAACAACUAGAGUACUUUUAGGAGGGGUAGAUUUCACGUGUAACGGUGAAAUGCGUAAAGAUGUGGGGGAUUACCGAAGGCGAAGGCAGCGCCUUGGAAAUGUACUGACGCUCAUGUGCGAAAGCGUGGGGAGCAAACAGGAUUAGAUACCCUGGUAGUCCACGCCGUAAACGCUGUCGAUUUGGGGAUUGGGGUUUAACUCUGGUGCCCGUAGCUAACGUGAUAAAUCGACCGCCUGGGGAGUACGGCCGCAAGGUUAAAACUCAAAUGAAUUGACGAAGGCCCGCACAAGCGGUGGAGCAUGUGGUAUAAU
rnacentral:rRNA from 1 species